AUAGCUCAGUGGUAGGGUGCAUGCUCAGCAUGCAUGGGGUCCUGGGUUCAAUCCCCAGU
rnacentral:tRNA from 1 species